UGGGGAAUUUUGGACAAUGGGCGCAAGCCUGAUCCAGCCAUGCCGCGUGCAGGAUGAAGGCCUUCGGGUUGUAAACUGCUUUUGUACGGAACGAAAAGACUCCUUCUAAUAAAGGGGGUCCAUGACGGUACCGUAAGAAUAAGCACCGGCUAACUACGUGCCAGCAGCCGCGGUAAUACGUAGGGUGCGAGCGUUAAUCGGACUUACUUGGCGUAAAGCGUGCGCAGGCGGUUAUAUAAGACAGAUGUGAAAUCCCCGGGCUCAACCUGGGAACUGCAUUUGGGACUGUAUAGCUAGAGGACGGCAGAGGGGGAGGGAAUUGCGCGUGUAGCAGUGAAAUGCGGAGAUAAGCGGGGGGAAGCCGAUGGGGAAGGGAAGCCCCUGGGCCUGUACUGACGGGCAUGCACGAAAGCGUAGGGAGGAGACA
rnacentral:rRNA from 1 species